GACGAACCGUGCAAACGUUGUUCGGAUUCACUGGGCUUAAAGGGCGCGUAGGCGGGCCAUCAAGUCAGGGGUGAAAUCUUUCGGCUCAACCGGAAAAGUGCCUUUGAUACUGGUGGUCUCGAGGGAGGUAGGGGCAUGCGGAACUUCCGGUGGAGCGGUGAAAUGCGUAGAUAUCAUAAGGAACACCGGUGGCGAAGGCGGAUACCUGGAAGAUUCCUGACUCUGAAACACGAAAGCCAGGGGAGCAAACGGG
rnacentral:rRNA from 1 species